AUUGAACGCUGGCGGCAUGCUUUACACAUGCAAGUCGAGCGGCAGCGCGGGGGCAACCCUGGCGGCGAGCGGCGAACGGGUGAGUAAUGCAUCGGAACGUAUCCUCGAGUGGGGGAUAACCCAGCGAAAGUUGGGCUAAUACCGCAUGAGCUCUGAGGAGGAAAGCGGGGGACCUGCGAGGGCCUCGCGCUGGAGGAGCGGCCGAUGUCCGAUUAGCUAGUUGGUGGGGUAAAGGCUUACCAAGGCGACGAUCGGUAGCUGGUCUGAGAGGAUGAUCAGCCACACUGGGACUGAGACACGGCCCAGACUCCUACGGGAGGCAGCAGUGGGGAAUUUUGGGCAAUGGGGGCAAGCCUGAUCCAGCCAUGCCGCGUGAGUGAAGAAGGCCUUCGGGUUGUAAAGCUCUUUCGGACGGAAAGAAAUGGGCGGGACUAAUACUCCUGUCUGAUGACGGUACCGUAAGAAGAAGCACCGGCUAACUACGUG
rnacentral:rRNA from 1 species